UACGUAGGGUGCCAAGCGUUAAUCGGAAUACUGGGCGUAAAGCGUGCGCAGGCGGCUUUGCAAGACAGAUGUGAAUCCCCGGGCUUAACCUGGGAACUGCAUUUGUGACUGCAUGGCUGGAGUGCGGCAGAGGGGAUGGAAUUCCGCGUGUAGCAGUGAAAUGCGUAGAUAUUGGGAAGAACACCAGUGGCGAAGGCGGCUCACUGGCCCGGUACUGACGCUGAGGCGCGAAAGCGUGGGAGCAACAGG
rnacentral:rRNA from 1 species